GGUGGAUUCGAAUCUCGAAUCGUAUUCCAAUCGAUUCCCUCAAAGAACGGAUGCAACUGGAAAUCACUGAGACCAUUUCGUCCGAAUCGAACAUCACUCGAACAGAUAAGUUGUCGUAUAAGAUCCUUUGCCUCUUCCGACACAACCCAAUCGAUUUCAUCAUCGGGGAAGUCGAGCAUGUCUUGAUGGCUCAUAAUUUUACCGUGAAAUAUAAUCAGGUGUUCCUACAGCAACAUUCGACGCAACAGAUCCAUCGGCUAAGAUCCUCAGACAACUUCCGAAAUCAGCGAGCCGAAUGUGUCCUUGCAUAUCGAGAAGCACAUUGUCAGGCUUCACGUCCCGAUGCACAUAUCCUAACCGAUGAAGUGAAUCAAUCGCAAGAACCAUUUCAGCAAUGUAGAAUUUGGCCAUUGA
ensembl:antisense_RNA F31F7.9 ncRNA